GUUCAGCGUGGCAUUUCGGAAGGCUUAGGAGGUGCUGGUCUUUCACGUGACACUAAAGCGCCAUGCCGGAAGCACUGAGUCUGAUGCGCCGGAACCAGUUUCCACCGUGUGGUUUGGUCUUGAUUUCCACUGGUUCUCUGGGGUCUUGGAUACCCUCCGGACCUCACCUUUGCCAUUUGCGAAGUAGAUAGGUUCCAAUAGAGAUUUUACCAAAAUCAUUCAACUGAAAAUAGGUAACUUUUUGUUUUGAAAGGAAGGACGGGGGCGCGGUUAAAGAUGUUAAUCUUAAGUCAUCCCUUCUGUGAUUUCGGGACAUUGUCUUUGCACGCCACGUGAAGAUGUUCUUGCUUCCCUGUCACCUUCCACCAUGAUUGUAAGUUUCCUGAGGCCUCCCCAGAAGCAGAAGCCUGUACAGCCCACAGAACUAUGACCUGAUUAAAUCUCUUUUCUUUAUAAAUUACCCAGUCUCAGAUCUUGCUAUGCUUGUCAUUGUGUGAGCAGCAAACUUUGCAGUGACCAGUUGGAUUCCACCCCGCUGAUGGUGGAAUUGGUGGUAUGCUCUUGGGGAAAUGUCUUCCAGACAGGCAAAGAGGAGUAACAUCAUCAGAGCAUGGACAUCCUUAAAGACUUUGCAGCUAUGGUCUGUGAUGUUUUUCUGCAUU